rnacentral:lncRNA from 1 species
UUUCUUAAUUUAAAGCCCAAUACCCUUUAAACCCACUAAAAAGCCUAAUUUCCCUAACUUAGAGGUGACACUCUUAAAAAGGAAGCUAACGCCUAAGUUUUAGAAUCAACCAUUUUUUGGAAAAGAGACCCAUCAGCCAUGAAACAAAGAAGAUCAUCUUCUUCACUAAAAGAGAACCUAACACAAAAGACCUAAGCUUGAGCGCAGAUACCAAAGGCGACCCAACCCCUGCUGGUCUUCUUCUUCGUCCUCACGUCCACCAACGACCACUCUCACGCCAGCCUGAACCAAUCAGCCAUCCCCUUUAAUUUCCACCCCUUUCUUCAAACACCCAGCAACACCCUCUUCAACACCAACAGCCAGUGUCCAUGCUGGCGCAACCCCUGAACACCAAAAUCGACCACCCAUACCUCUCUUGAGCCUGCUAGACUCCUCACUCUCCAACAUCAGCUAUUUGUCGGAAUAUUAUUUUUUUGGAACUCUGCUUUUGUUUUGCAUAACAAGGAAUGAAUAUCCCUCUUCCAAGGUCCGUUUUUCUGUUUCGCUUACCUUUUCAAUCCGCAGUCUAAUUAGUUCUUGUGAAUAUUUGGUUAGUUGCUAUGUUCAUCUACCUUAAAUUAACGUGCAUAUGUCCUAUUGAAUUGCUUCUUCGUGCUUGAUUUUAAAAUCGAAGUUACCAGUAUGCAAUUUGAAUAAUAAAUUAAGGCAACAUGAUUUGGACAUUUGAAAUAUGUGCUAUUUAAUGGGUUAUGAGAUUUGGUUUAAAAGUCUACUUGGAAUGUUUAACAGUUUGUUAUGCUAUUGUAGCUUAGAAAGCUCUUCAUGCUCUCAUUUUGUUCGAUUUAAACAUGAACGCUCGUAGUUUGCUUUAGGCACGUAAUUAAAUCAUCACAACUACGGAUAUGGUUCCUAUGGCGUGGUUGUGACACUUAAUUUUAGAUUAUCUUUUAAAUAGGGGCAUCCGUAGUUAAAUGCUUUUCCCUUUAAUAAAAUUGAGGUGUGCCAUCCAAUCGUCUAGUCUAUGACCCUCACAUCGAUAUCUUAACUAGUGUAGAAAAUGCCUUGAAUUUUCUGUAACGACCCGACCGGUCAUUUUGUUUUCUAGCGCGUUGUUUAGUAGUUUGGGGCCAUGAGCAGCUUCACUUCAGGUAUUAUGACUUGUACGCAUGGUCGGAAUUGAAUUCCGGGGAAUUCGGAGUUGAUUUGGAAAGGGAAUUCUCAUUUCGGAAGCUUUAAGUUUCAGAAUUGACUAAGAUUGGAUUUUAGAGUAAACGACCUCGGAAUCGGGAUCUGAAGGUUCCAGUAGGUUCGUAUAAUGAUUUCGGACUUGGGCGUAUGCCCGGAUUGGGUUUUAGAUGAUCCGGAGGAAUUUUGGCGCCUAUUGUAGAAGUUAGCAUUUUGGAAGAAAUUUCAUAAGUUUGGGUUGAAGUGCAUUUCAGUGUUAUCGAUGUCCGUUUGGGCUGAUUAUGAUUUUCAUCACUUCCACUAUAUAUAUAUAUAUUUCAUUAAACCUAUAUUGAAAAUGUUAGAAAGAUAAAAUUUUAAAGGAUUUUACUAAAGUUGGGAGUUUAACGAAAUGAUUUGAAUGGUAUACUGAUUUGGGAACAUGUUAUAAUUACUGUGGUGCUAUGACGUAGUUGACGUGUUUCUUGCUGCUCAAUCUUUAUUUACUAUUAUUACUUACUGGGUUGGAGUACUCACAUUACUCCCUGCACCUCGUGUGCAGAUUCAGGUAUUUCGAAACCCGGUAGCGGGUGUUGAUUGCUCAGAGGCAGAGUCGUCGGAGUUAGCAAGGUGGUUGCACGACAUUCGUAGCACUGCUUUCCUUCAUCUCAUUUUCAUUACUAUAUUUAGUAUAUUUUAAGACUCUGAUUGUAUUCGGACCUUCGUAGAUGCUCGUGACUAGUGACACCCCGAUGUCAGGCUUGUAUAAUUAUUCCGCACUUUUCUUUAAAAUUUCAUUAUGAGAACUAUUUUUUUAUAAAUGUUAUAAAAACAACCUUUAUUGGAAAAAUGUUUGAUUCGGGAGUUCCAUUGGCUGGCCUAGUUUCACGAUAGGCGCCAUCACGACCGGGUCGGUUUUGGGUCGUGACAAGUUGGUAUCAGAGCACAAGGUUCCCUUAGGUCUCAUGAGUCAUGAGCAAGUCUAGUAGAGUCUUGCGGAUCGGUACGGAGACGUCUGUACUUAUCUUCGGGAGGCUACAGAGCUAUUAGGAGUACUUCCCUUCUUGAUUUCCUUAUCGUUCGACAUGAUUCCUUGAGGCUUAUGCCCUUGUUUCCUUCUUACUCAAUCUUACGCGACGCGAACCGCUUGUUAUAAACCGAGAAUUGAAGAAUUGUAAUGGUACUAUAGAUGUGGUGCAAGAUGUUUCUCCCGGUAUAGUUAGGUGAGCUAUUGUCGUCGCCUUGCGGAAGAAUUUUUUCUAUCGUUUUGGCUCUAUAGUUGUGCUUCUAAGAGCUUGGAGGCUAUGCACAGGUUUCUAUGAUGCUCGCGAUUGGUUAUCGCACAGUAUUGACUUGAUGGUAGGAGACUUGCCUAUGUGUUGGGGCAGUGAAUGAGUUGAAAGGAAAUCUUCUCAGUGCACAAUUCAGAGAUAUGAUAUUUCGCUUCCGGCGGAGGAAAAACAAUUAGCCUGUGAAUGUCCAGAUUUGGGGUGAUGGAGUAACGAGACUUGGUAAUUUCGAGCGUGGUGGAAUUUUUAUCUGCGAUGUAGUGUCAUCGUCCUCGAUUGUAUGUGUUAAGUUCGCUGGUGUUAUGGUCUUCUGCAAUUCGCCCUUGGGGUAGGAUAUUGUGAAAUAAUAUUGGAGAAAUGACUGUUGGAUAUCGCGGGGUGCGGUGGUUCAGGAUUGAAUCGGUAUUUCUAAUGUCGACGGCUCGAGAAAGAUGAUCUCCGGAAAGGUUUAAAGUUAGCAGCAAUUUGUGGGUUCAAGGGCUACGAAGAUAGAUUUUAUUAAGGCAACAACUGAGCAGCAAAGGAUGAGGAAGUACAUGUGGGGAGUGUUAGGAGGUGGUUAAAAUUUCUAGAAGGCCAGGUAUAAGAAGCAAAGGUCGAGUGGUCGAUUAGAGGGGUGAGUUCCGCCAAAGUGGGAGAGUGGCAGAGUUGCAUAUGAGUUUUGUGUUAGGAUGACUACACACCUUAAGGAGAGUUUGGAACGACUUGGGAAUUUUAGUGAUUGAUGAUUGGGGUCUACGGAUCUAAUUUGAAGUAUAGGCUAUUAUGCAGCAAGAGAUUUGAUAUAACAGAAAGGAGCUACUUGAAAUGAAGAAGGAUACAACCUAACUUUGAAUUGGAAGGAUGUUACCGCACAUUUAAUUCAUAUCCACGAGGGGUUAAUGGACUUGUGCAGCUAGAGAGUGAACUCGAACUCAGGAUGGAUUAUUGAUGUCGUAGUGAUUGUACCCUGUGCAGUAGCGUUGGAAGAUGUCGGCACAUAAAUUCCACGGGAGGGUUAUCUCUAGUGAGCAAAUCGGCGGUCGCAUGGUUGGCGAAGCUUUUGCGGAGAAUUCUAUUGGAUAUAUAGAAAAGAGACCAGUCGUGCAAAUGUGGUUGAUGAUUCAGAGUAUAAAAAUGGGGUUUUACAAAAAGAUUCCGAGAAUUAUAGCGGUUGAUUGCGCAAGGUUAUGUCAAUAAGAGAUAAAGAAUCCUGAUAAAUUUCAGAGUUGUGUAAUAGUGGCUUCAAUCUAAGUGGUAAUUUGAGCAAAGGAAUUGUUAAAGGUAUGUUAUGGUUGGCCUUAUUGGCUCAUGUUCAGACUUGGAGAAGGAUUCAGGAUUUAUGCCUUGUAUAGAUGCAGGUUUCAAGGGAAGAGAUUUUGCCGGGUGCUUUGUCGAGAGGAUAUUCAUGUUCUAGAGGAUUCAUGGAGUUGAUUAUAUUUGGGGCCAAGUCAGAGCGGGUGGCUCUCAACAACAGUCCUAGUGGAUUCAAAGGGGCAAAGUGUGGUGCCUAAUGAUUGUGAGCCUAUAGGUACGUACAUUUAAGAAUCAAGCUUUGCAGCAGCUUAUGAGAAGGGGCACAGAAUGUUCUAUGAUGUUUUGACUUGAAGUGUAAUAUUUAGGAGGUAUGAAAUUGUUCGUGGGAUUUGAGACAGCAUGGUCUCAUGAUUCAAGGUCACUCGGGAUGAGUGCGGAUGGAGUGUGUUAUGUGUUGAAUGGAGUUAUUUAUUUCUAAGGAAAUGAAGAAUUAAUUUGGAACAAGAUAAAUUGGUUAGCCAUAGUUGAAUUGGCAUAUUGUGGUAGUGAUCAGUUCCUUCAACGUGAUCAAGUUAUGCAAGUGAUUUGUGACAGCACAUGUGAGGCUUGUUGACCGCCGUAAUUAAUGUUAUCUAGAAGUAUUCCACUAUUAUGGCCUGUCAUGUGUAGACGGAUCCCGGAAGGGCUAUGGUGGCUUAGACCACUACUUAGAGAUUUACAUAUUCUACGGUUUUGAGAAUUCACAUGUGUGUUGCUAUGGUUCUCCUGAAGUGAGUUAAGUGAAAAGUUUUAUAUGAUGAAGUGUUAAUUUAUUAGUGGUUAUAGAGUUAUGAUGAAAUUGUGUUCUAUCGUAUAUUGGCAUGUUGGGUGCAGUGAGUGGUAUGGAAUUUGAAGUGAGGAUCAAGGUAGAAGUUCGGUGUUGACAAGGAUGUCACGAGCUCAGAUGAGUAGUAAAGGAGUUUCAAUGUUUAAAGUAAGUGGGUAUCGUCUUCAGCGUCACCUGAGAUCGGUGUUUUGUGAAAAAGGCCUUGCAUCCUGGUUAUGGAUUCUUGAACGCUUUCUCAGUGUUAGUGCGUCUGGUGGUAUAGAUAUGCAUACUUGUUGUCUGUUACGGAAGGUCAUGGGAGCGUGCCCCACAAGAAGACUGUAUAAGUAUGGCAUGUAGUCACUUGAUUGAUUGAAGAUUUAAAUCAAGUAUGAAGACGGUGGUGAUAUCACUAAUUUGAGAAUUUAUGCUUAGAGGGCACUCGACUUAUUGGGUUGUGGACAGUGGAGGAUUGCCCCGAUUAUGAUAGUAGUUCUCGUGUGUUAUGAGAAAAAGGGAGUUAUUAUGGACCUUCGAAAGGUUAUUAGCCUAGUUCAGUGUGAUCAGAAUCAGCUUGCGGUGUGUGGAUGGAUCUAAAUGUGAAUAUGGGCUCUAUAUCAGGCCAAAUGUGUUCAUUUUAGCAAUGCGUUCCUUUGGACAAGUAGUCUGGGUACAAUUUCGUCGUCAACUAUUUCAUAUAAAUCAUAUAUUGUGUCGUAUGAGUUGUGAGACAGCUUGGUGAAUUUCUUAUGUGUUGAGGUUCCGCAUAGAGAUGAUGUUAUAUGAGCAGUAUGACUCUGUAGAUUCAGAUCGUAUAUCGCACCUCAGUUGUGCUUGAGUUUUGUAGCCUAUGUCACUAUAUGUCUCCCCAGGGAUGUGCUUGUGACCGAUAUUCGGUAUUUUGUUGUAAUGAGCAAUUUAGCUCGAUGUAUAUCUCCUUAUGUGAAUUCUAUGUGUGGAUCGGGUGGCACGCCACCAUGGGUAUGUUAUUUGGAUCGAGUUGCACGCUGCAAUAAUGUGAUGUUGAGUACAGUUUUCUAUAUGCUAUUUUUGUAUGCCUUGUUUCCUAUUUUCUAAGGAAAGUCCAUAUUAGUGCAUGAGUUGAGUAGUUCCUUCCAGAGUUCGUUUUCCUUUUCACGUUUGAGUUCAUAGCCUAUUGUCACAUUGUGGCAUCAUAUGAGACUUUUGAUCAUGUCCAGGGUGGCUUAUUGCCUGAGCGGUUCGUAAUGGGUGAGACGAGAUCAUUGGAUUUAGGAUCAGUGCAAUAUGAUUAUAUGAAGUAUAUUAAGGAGCUAAGACCAUUAUUUGGUUCAAAAUGAUGUGAUGGUUCUUGUCAGGAGUAUAGACCUAAUGAUUUGUUGAUUCGGUAGUUAGGUAUGAAUUUCUACACACCUCUUCCGUCUUGGCGGUAUUGUAAGAGUUAGAGCAAGACCUAUGUAGGUCACGAGGUGCAAUGGGAGCAUCAGAUUCGUGGAAUUUUGACUAAUUUGAUCAGAGAAUAUUAUUGUGGUCCUGUGAGUAAAGUGGUGCAAGGUGUGAAUUCAUCUAAGGUAUGCAGUCAUGUUUUGGUGCUGCGGGUAGUUAUUGAUAUGGUGAGCGUAUAUUGGAACAGGCCUAGCAGAGAAUUUCGGAUGUAGGAAUUGGGCUCUAAGGCUUAUUUGCUUAAGUGAAAAAGGAUAUCUUCAGAUUGAUCGAGCUAGGAUGCCCAGCUGAGUUGUGGUAGCACGGGUAGGUGCUCGAGGUGUUAAACAGUGAUUUUGGACAACCCCAACACAAUUCUUAGCACGUUCGAGCACAAACGUAUGUUUAAAUGGGAGAGAAUGUAAUGACCCGGCCGGUUGUUUUGAGCUCUAGCACGUCAUUCAGCAGUUUGGGCCAUGAGCAGCUUCACUUCAGGUAUUAUGACGUGUACGCAUGGCCAGAAUUGAAUUUCGAGGAAUUCGUAGUUGAUUUGGAAAGGAAAUUCUCAUUUUGGAAGCUUUAAGUUGAAAGAAUUGACUAAGAUUGGAUUUCAGAGUAAACGACCUCGAAAUCAGGAUCUGAAGGUUCCAGUAGGUUCGUAUGAUGAUUUUGGACUUGGGCGUAUGCCCUGAUUGGGUUUUGGAUGACCCGGGGCGUUUUGCCGCUUAUUGUGGAAGUUAGCAUUUUGGAAGAAAUUUCAUAAGUUUGGAUUGAAGUGCAUUUCAGUGUUAUCGAUGUCCGUUUGGGAUCCGAGUCUGGGCGUAGCUUUGUAUGGUGAUUCUGGAGUUGGAAGUGUGAUCGGAAGUGAAUUUGGAGGUCCGUAGGUCAUUUUGAAGUCAUUUGGCAGAAGAUAGAAAUUUAAAGGUUUUUGAGAAGUUUGAUUGAGAGUUUGACUUUUCAAUAUUGGGUUCGGAUUCCAAUUCCGAAAGUUGGAGCAGGUAUGUAAUGCCGAAUAUGACUUGUGUGCAAAAUUUAAGGUCAAUCGGACGUGAUUUGACGUAUUUUACCAUCGAAUGUAAAAGUUUGAAAUUUCAAAGUUCAUAAAGUUUGGAUUGAAGUAUGAUUCAUGAUUUUGACAUUGUUUGAUGUGAUUUGAGGCCUCGAGCGAUUUUGUACCAUGUAUUGGGACAUGUUGGUAUAAUUGGUUAAGGUUCCAAGGGCCUCGGGUGGAUUUCGGAAGGUUAACGGAUUGAAUUUCGGACCAAAGAGUUGCUGAAAUUUUCUGCAGAAAGCUGUUUUGACAGCAACUAGUGCAAUCGCGGAGCUAGAUUUGGAAGCCUAUAUUUCAAAAUUUAUAAGGAAUCAGAAAUUUUUUAAAACAUAAAAGUUGUUGUCCUUGCAUUCUAGUUUCUAGAAAGAUUAACCAUUCAUGAUUUGGACAUUUUAUCAGAAAGUUAUAAUCGAUUGAAGAUGGCUGGUGGAGCAGUUUCGACAGAAUUUUCUGAUGCAUGGAGCAGACUUUAGAAGCUCAUAUCUCGAAAUAUAUAAAGAUUUAUGUGGUGUGCAACCUAUCAAAUGAAAGAUCUUCGAGUCUAGUUUCUAAAUCUUCAAACCGUUUAUCAUUUAGAUAUUUCCAAAAGGUAUUAUGGGCGUUUUAACAAAAAGUGUACAGCAGUAGAAAAUUGUAAUNNNNNNNNNNNNNNNNNNNNNNNNNNNNNNNNNNNNNNNNNNNNNNNNNNNNNNNNNNNNNNNNNNNNNNNNNNNNNNNNNNNNNNNNNNNNNNNNNNNNNNNNNNNNNNNNNNNNNNNNNNNNNNNNNNNNNNNNNNNNNNNNNNNNNNNNNNNNNNNNNNNNNNNNNNNNNNNNNNNNNNNNNNNNNNNNNNNNNNNNNNNNNNNNNNNNNNNNNNNNNNNNNNNNNNNNNNNNCCGUUUCUUUCAUUUCUUUCAUUUGGCUUGGCCGAUUUUGGAGCUUUUUAAGAGGAUUUGAAGAGGGAUUCAAGAGAUAACACCUGGAGGUAAGAUUUUUGAACUCAAUACUCGAUUCUUGUGUAAAUUCUACCUAAUUAAUCAUGGAAAUUAAGCCUAAAAUUGAGGAAUUAAGGCUUGAAAUUGGAGAGUGUAAGUUGGGGAUUUGAAGGGGUAAUUGAGGUCCGAUUUUGAGGUUCUUGGUAUGUAUAGACUCGUGAGAGGAUAAGGAACCUAUUGAUGUAAAAUUUAUCGGAAUCCGAGAUGUGGGCCCGAGGGCCGGGUUUGAGCAAUUUUGAGAUUUUUGAUGUAAAUUAGAUAUUUUCGAGUGAGCUUUGUUCCUUUAGCAUAUUUUAAAGGUUAUGUACUGAUUAUGGCUAGAUUUGGAGCAUCCGGAGGUCGAUUCGUGAGGGUAAAGGCAUCGCGGGCUAGAGUUUGGACCGGAUUGAGGUAAGUAAUGAUUGUAAAUAUUGUCCUGAGGGUUUGAAACCCUGGAUUUCACCUCGUUAUGCUAUUUUGAGGUGAUGCACACGCUAGAUGACGAGCGUGGAGUCGUGCACUGUUGAGGAUUGUAACUUGGUCCGUCCCGUACGACUGUCAAGUCGCGUAUUUGAUUUGAAAUCUUAUGAUAUUCCAUAUUUUAGAGAUUGAUAUUAUAUUUUGGGUUGUAUGCCAUGUUUGGGGCCUUGUGCCGACCUGUUGAGACCCUUAGGGGCAUUUUCACUACUUUUCCUUACUCUAUUUGUUUUGAGAGCAUAUCCCCAGUCAUGUUUUACCUAUUAUCGUUUAAACCUGGUUUUUUCACUUUACUUCUUAAAAUGUGAAAACUGUUUGGGCUGAGUUUCCUGAUUUACUGAUUGCCCGAGCAAUUGUGAGGUUGAUGACUGAGAUAGACCGAGGGUCUGAUUGUGAGAUUGAUGGCUAAGAUUGACCAAGAGUCUGAUUGUGAGGUUAAUGACUGAGAGAGGCCGAGGGCCUGGUUAUGAGGAUUAUAUAGUUAUGGAUCAGGCUGCACGCCGCAACAAUAUAUAUAUAUAUAUAUAUAUAUGUUAUAUGGAUCAGGCUGCACGCCGUAGCGAUAUGUUGGAUUGUGCUGCACGCCGCAGCGAUAUGUUGGAUCGGGCUGCACGCCGUAGCGAUAUAGCGCUUGGGCUGUAGGAGCCCUUCCGGAGUCUGCACACCCCCGGUGAGCGCCGUCGACAAGAUAUAUGGAUCGGGCUGCACGCCGCAAUGAUAUAUGCAUCGAGCUGUGCGCCGCAGCAGUUACUAUAUGGUACCUAUUUUGUGUGAGUACUGAGUAUGAGCGUUGACCGGUAAGAGUGAGUCAUGAGUGACUGAGAGGCUUGCCCGAGGGGCUAUAGAUAUACAUGUACAUGAGUGAUGCUUUGCCUGAGGAACCUGUUAAUGAACUUACUGUUUUUCAAUCCUCCUUAAAGUGAGUUUUAUCGAAUAUGUUGAUUUAAUUACUGCUUUCACUCAUCUUUAGACCGAGCCUCUAUUGAAAAUGUUUAGCAAACGCUUUAAACAACUUUCAUUCAAACUGAAGUUUUUAAGUUAUGAAAUGGGUAUAAAUAUUUGUUUUGCCGAGCGGCUGUAUACGAACUAUGUUUUGCCCGAGGGGCCGAUUAUGAUUUUUAUCACUUCUACUAUAAAUAUAUAUAUUUCAUUAAACCUAUAUUGAAAAGGUUAGAAAUAUAAAAUUUUAAAGGAUUUUACUGAAGUUGGGAGUUUAACGAAAUGAUUUGAAUGGUAUCCUGAUUUGGGAACUUGUUGUAAUCACUGUGGUGCUAUGACAUGGUUGACGUAUUUCUUACUGCUCAGUCUUUAUUUACUCUUAUUACUUACUGGGUUGGAGUACUCACAUUACUCCCUGCACCUUGUGUGCAGAUUCAGGUAUUUCAGAACCCGGUAGCGGGUGUUGAUUGCUCAGAGGCGGAGUCGUUGGAGUUAGCAAGGUGGCUGCACGACAUUCAUAGCACUGCUUUUCUUCCUCUCAUUUUCAUUACUGUAUGUAGUAUAUUUUUAGACUCUGGUUGUAUUCGGACCUUGGUAGAUGCUCAUGACUAAUGACACCCCGAUGUCGGGCUUGUGUAAUUAUUCUGCACUUUUCUUUAAAAUUUUAUUAUGAGAACUAUUGUUUAUAAAUGGUAUAAAAACAACUUUUAUUGGAAAAAUGGUUGAUUCGGGAGUUUCGUUGGCUGGCCUAGUUUCAC